rnacentral:snoRNA from 1 species
AUGAAUGAUGACCACGUUGUCGCCCCAAGCGGAUCAAAUGAAAUUAUUUUGUUUAAGUACAGAUAAUGGGAAAUGACCGAUUAAUGCAACAUAAGCCAAACACUGAAAAUUCUGAUC